rnacentral:rRNA from 1 species
AUGGCUGCUCCGGGCACUGCUGCGGAGGUGGAGGUGGAUGUGGGAGGUGGGGCGCUGGAGAGGGGCGCCGGCGGCGGUGGCGACAGGAGGAAGCCGCAGGGGUGGAAGUGCAUGCCCUUCAUCUUAGCAAUCGCUACAUUUGAGAAUGUCGGGUCACUUGGCAUGGUAGCAAAUUUGGCGCUCUAUCUUGUGAAGCGCUUCAAUUUUGGGCAGCUCACAGCAAUAAACACUACCAACAUUUUCUUCGGCACGCUGAACUUCACACCGUUGCUAGGUGCCUUCAUCUCCGACGCCUACUUGGGAAGGUUCAGAACCCUUGCCUACGGGUCCUUCUUUAGCCUCCUGGGAAUGCUAGGAUUGACUUUGUCUGCAUCAGUUCCAGCUUUCAAACUAGCAGACUGCAAUCAAACAGUUCAACUAGGUGAACAUUGCAAUAGUCCAUCAACACUCCAGCUUAGUGUGCUAUACCUAUCUUUAGCAUUUCUAAUCAUUGGCGGUGGAGCAAUCCGACCAUGCAGCUUACCCUUUGGAGUAGACCAAUUCGACAUGACUGAUAGAAAUAGUCAAAAAGGCCUAAAUAGCUAUUAUAACUGGUACUAUGGCACAACUAAUAUUGCCUUGGUGUUUUCUAUGACUAUUCUCGUCUACAUUCAGGCUACCAUCAGCUGGCCAAUAGGAUUUGGCAUACCAACGUUCUUCAUGUUGUUGUCAAUUAUCAUUUUAUUUAUGGGUACUAGACUUUAUGUCCAUGUACCACCAGAGGGAAGCAUCUACACUGGAAUUGCCCAAGUUUUACUAGCAUCAUUUAAAAAGAGAAGACUCAAGCUUCCAAACUCGAAUGAUAUAAGUCAGCAAGAGUUGUUGCUAUUCAGCCCUCCCACGAGGGGCCAUCGUAUUUUCAGAUUGCCACUUACUUCCCAGUUCAGGUUUCUUAACAAAGGUGCGAUUUUAAGGGAUGGUGAUAUAAAUGACGAUGGUUCCGCAAGAAAUUCAUGGGAGCUUUGUAGUAUCCAACAGAUAGAAGAAGUUAAAUGUUUGAUAAGAAUUUUUCCUAUUUGUAUAUCUGGCAUCGUAUGCUUCAUCGCAUUGGUUCAACAAUACACCUCUGCAAGCUUUCAAGCAUUAACAAUGGACUGUCACCUUGGAACACAUUUUGAAAUCCCUGCAGGCUCUGUUAUAUCCAUAUCCUUUAUCGCCCUAACUGCAUUCCUGCCGAUUUAUGGCCGAAUAUUGGUACCUAUAGCUAGAAGAUUCACCGGAGUGGAAAGUGGAAUUACAGUUCUUCAGAGACAAGGUAUAGGAUUGGUGAUUUCUCCCAUAUCAAUGGUGGUAGCAGGGCUUGUUGAACACAAAAGGAGAAACUCAGCAUUGUCUAAUGGAGGAAAAUCACCUAUGUCAGUCUUUUGGCUUGCCCCCCAAUUGAUUUUAAUGGGUAUUGCUGAUGCCUUCAAUGCAGUUGGACAAUUAGAAUUCUAUAAUAAGCAGUUUCCAGAGCAGAUGCUAACCCUAGCAGGAUCCCUCUUUUACGUUACUUUAGCUGGAGCAGGCUAUUUGAGUACCGCUAUGACAAACAUCACAAACAAAGUGACUACGAGAGAUGCCCACAGAGGCUGGAUCGCAGACGAUAUUAAUCUCGGCAAGCUUGACUAUUACUUUUAUUUAAUUGCCCUCGUGGGAGUACUGAACCUUUUCUACUUCCUCAUAUGCUCCCACUACUAUCAAUACAAAUCCAUUUCACACUAUGCUGAGGAACCCAUCAAAAUACAGACCAAGGAAGAGGCAGAAGCAGAGAUGGACCCCAGUAGAGAUGCACCUCACAAGUAA